rnacentral:rRNA from 1 species
CUCUGGCCUCAAAUCAGGUAGGACUACCCGCUGAACUUAAGCAUAUCAAUAAGCGGAGGAAAAGAAACUAACAAGGAUUCCCUUAGUAACGGCGAGUGAACCGGGAAAAGCUCAAAUUUGAAAUCUGGCUGUCUUCGAUAGUCCGAGUUGUAAUCUAUAGAAGCGUUUUCCGUGCUGAACUGUGUAUAAGUGUCUUGGAACAGACUAUCAAAGAGGGUGACAAUCCCGUACUUUACACAAUCAUCAGUGCUCUGUGAUACGUUCUCUACGAGUCGAGUUGUUUGGGAAUGCAGCUCAAAAUGGGUGGUAAAUUCCAUCUAAAGCUAAAUAUUGGCGAGAGACCGAUAGCGAACAAGUACCGUGAGGGAAAGAUGAAAAGCACUUUGGAAAGAGAGUUAAACAGUACGUGAAAUUGUUAAAAGGGAAACGAUUGAAGUCAGUCGUGUUUAUUGGAUUCAGCCGGUCUUCGGUGUACUUCCUUUAAACGGGUCAACAUCAGUUUUGUCCGGUGGAUAAAGGCAGUAGGAAUGUGGCUCCCUCGGGAGUGUUAUAGCCUAUUGUCACAUACACUGGAGGAGACUGAGGACUGCAGCUCGCCUUUUUGGCCGGGGUUCGCCCACGUUCGAGCUUAGGAUGUUGACAUAAUGGCUUUAAACGACCCGUCUUGA